UGCUCUGAAAAAUCUGGAUUUUAUAGUUUGUGAAGUUCUGAACAAAAAAUUAAGAUGCAAGGAGAUAGAAAUGUGAAGAUUUUUAUACUGGGCCUUUUCUCGCUCUUUUGUACUUUUUAUCUAACUGUAACACUCAGGUUUAUUUAACCAUCUUUAAUCUUGGCCUUCUAAAGUCCCAGUCUUUGGUGUUCUAAAACCUCUGCUGCUAGCAGAUCACCACGUUGCUUUGGCAUCACAUUCACUCUGUGUGGCAAAACUAUCUGGGCUUGUGUCCCAAAUCACAGUGGUGCUAAUUAAAUCCACUUAACAUAUUUUUUUCAUUCAUCCCCUGAAGCUGGAGGCAAUUUGUGAAGAAGACAUUGGUGAAGAAAUAAAAAUUAGAAAAUGUAAAAGAACUAUUAUAAAAGGAUCAGCAACAGCUACUUUUUAGGUUAUAAAGACCAAGCCUGUGCUGUUCUAGCUAGUAACCCACUCUUGUGGUGGGUGAUGACAGUAAGCAUACAGGAUCAGCCUUGGCACCACACAUGGCAAUAGCAUUGAGAGGAAACUCUAGAAGAGAAACUAAGGAGAGACUGACAACUUCAGGAAACUUCUGGUUGACCUUCUGCUGCUAUGGCCACUGGAGGCCCUUUGUUGGCCAAUGGCCCCUCUUCAGCCACCUGACUCACCGCAGACGACCCCCCGCCCCUGCUGACCACAGCCCACUUCACCCACCUCUGAAGCCAAACAAACAAAAAAAUGAAGAUGGAAGAGACUUCUAUUUUCUUUUCUUUUCUUUCCUUUUCUUUUUUCUUUUUUCCUUUUUCCUUUUUCCUUUUUCCUUUCCUUUCUCCCUUCCUUCCUUCCUUCCUUCCUUCCUUCCUUCCUUCCUUCCUUCCUUCCUUCCUUCUUUCCUUCCUUCCUUCCCUUAUUUUUUGACUUCUAUUUUCAAGAGAUUUUCAUCCUAAUGGGGAAUUGUAUUAAUCAGGGGUGGAGGGCAACGUGUAAUAAAAGCAAGGGUACGUGCA
rnacentral:lncRNA from 1 species